rnacentral:rRNA from 1 species
AUUGAACGCUGGCGGCUGGCUUAACACAUGCAAGUCGAGCGGUAACAGAGAGAAGCUUGCUUCCCUGCUGACGAGCGGCGGACGGGUGAGUAAUGCCUAGGAAUCUGCCUAGUAGUGGGGGAUAACUUGCCGAAAGGUAAGCUAAUACCGCAUACGUCCUACGGGAGAAAGGAGGGGACCUUCGGGCCUUUCGCUAUUAGAUGAGCCUAGGUCGGAUUAGUUAGUUGGUGAGGUAAUGGCUCACCAAGACCGCGAUCCGUAACUGGUCUGAGAGGAUGAUCAGUCACACUGGAACUGAGACACGGUCCAGACUCCUACGGGAGGCAGCAGUGGGGAAUAUUGGACAAUGGGGGGAACCCUGAUCCAGCCAUGCCGCGUGUGUGAAGAAGGUCUUAGGAUUGUAAAGCACUUUAAGUUGGGAGGAAGAGCAGUUAACUAAUAUUUGACUGUUUUGACGUUACCGACAGAAUAAGCACCGGCUAACUUCGUGCCAGCAGCCGCCGUAA